UACGUAGGGCGCAAGCGUUGUCCGGAAUUAUUGGGCGUAAAGAGCUCGUAGGCGGUUUGUCGCGUCUGCUGUGAAAGCCCGGGGCUCAACCCCGGGUCUGCAGUGGGUACGGGCAGACUAGAGUGUAGUAGGGGAGACUGGAAUUCCUGGUGUAGCGGUGAAAUGCGCAGAUAUCAGGAGGAACACCGGUGGCGAAGGCGGGUCUCUGGGCCAUUACUGACGCUGAGGAGCGAAAGCGUGGGGAGCGAACAGG
rnacentral:rRNA from 1 species